rnacentral:rRNA from 1 species
AGUUUGUUUACAAGAUUUGGUUUUUUAUGUGAUUUAGGAAGGUAGUCUUAUUUUUUGGAGGUUUAUUAUCUUUUUUGAACUAUUAAGAAUCUUUAGAACUGUGAGGGUUGUAAGUUUACUAGGGUUAAGUAAUGCUUUUGUACCUUUUGUAUCAGGGUCGGCUAAAAUUGGCUAUUUAUUUUCUUUUCCCGAAGAAAAGAGAGUUACUAGGCUAUUUGUCCUUUGUUGCAAAAAAGGGUUUAAUGGUUUAUGUAGUGGUGAGAUGUCAUUCGUUCUUUUGGUUAUCUGGUUCUCUUAGAAAUUUUAGGUAAGCGUUAGUAGUAGCAGAAAGGUUAUUAGGGAUAAGCUUAAUAUCUGAUUGUUAUAUAGGUUAGAAGACUAGGUUAGAGAAGGAUUAAUAGUGUCUUUAGGUUUUGUAACCGAUUAGUAGUUAUUUUUAUUAAUGGAGUAUAUGAGGGUGUCUUGAAAUCUUUUUUGUUAGUAAUAAUGGUAGAAUUAGUAGAUUAGCUUAUAGUUUCUAAUUUAGGUGUUUAAAUUGAAGUAUGCGAGUGUCUAGUUUUUGGUAAGGAACUCGGCAAAAAUUUCUCUUAACUGUUUAUCAAAAACAUUUCUUUAAGGAAGGAUUUAAAGUAUGUUCUGCCCCCUGAUUAAUCUAUUAAAGGGCCGCAGUAGCCUGACUGUGCUAAGGUAGCAUAAUCAUUAGGUUUUUGAUUGGGAUCUGGAAUGAAUGAAUGAAUAAGGGGGAGCUGUCUACCAACAGAGUUUGAAAUUAAAUUUUUAGUAAGAAUGCUAGAAUCUUUCAGUGGGACGAUAAGACCCUAUAAAGCUUUACUAAUCUUUAGUAAAAAUUUUUACUACUUUUAUGAAGGGUUUAGUUUUACUGGGGCGGUAGCUAAUCAACUUAGCUAAUUUUCUUUUAUUGUGGAUCCAUCUUUGGUGAAGUAAGAUUAAGUUACUUUAGGGAUAACAGCAUAAUAUACUUAUGGAGUUCUAAUCGAAGAGUAUGAUUGUGACCUCGAUGUUGAAUUAACCUAAUUGUAAGGUGAAGAAGCUUUACGAGUUAGUCUGUUCGACUAUUGAAGGGUUACGUGAUUUGAGUUCAAACCGGUUUAAGCCAGGUUGG